GCUAGGGGGGGGCAUUGUGGGGCAAUGCCCUACCUUGAAACCACAAUGCCCUACCUUAAAAAUAUCUAAAACUAAGAUAAAUUAUUAUAAUUAAAUUGUUUGUUCAUAGUUUGAGAAAAAAAAUGUAGCGAUAGGUAUCUAAGUUUGCAACAAAAUUUAUAAUGUGAUGGUAAGACUCUUGUAUUGGUUCAAACUAAAGCCGAUGAAACGGAACGCACCAAUGACAAAUGUCAUGAUGACAUUUUGCUGAAUAAAAACAAAACGUCAAAACAAAAACAACCUCAAAUGGAUAUUGUUUAUAUUUUAUUGAAUUUCAGGUGUUUUAUCAGUGAAUGCAAAAAAAAGUGUUACAUUCUUUGUUCUGUGUAUAGAUGGCAUUCGAAGCGCCAUCUCAUGAAGCGAUGGGUUUAUACAAAGAAUUAGAAUAGGGCUAGUCGGGGAAUCCCCUUUUAAACCUGACCUAAAGAUUGAUUAUGAUUGUUUGUAGUUUGGUUAAGUGAAGUGUACGGUGAAGAGUGCUUUAGACAAAAAUCGAUACAAUUGUUAUUUGUAUUGCUAUAAAUUGAAGAUUCAUUUAUUUCGCGAUGGAUAUACGGGCUUUCUUUGGAAAAAAACGAAGACUUGAGGAGCAAAUUGACCACGAAAAACCUAACUGUUCAAAACAGGUGGAAGCACCAAAUACAAUCGCUACUCCUAGUUCCGUAGCAACAGGUAACGUUAGCUAUGGUAUUCCGUCUGAUAUUGCACAAAUCGGAGAACCAAUAGAACAAGUUGUUUUAGACACAUAUCCAAAACAACACAACAGGGCCUUUGUUUCCGAUUGGUUCAAGCGUUAUAAAUGGUUGCAGUAUUCUGUCGAGAAAGAUGCUGCUUUUUGCUAUCCAUGCCAGCAAUUUUUACCUCAUGGAAGCAAACAGACUUCGUACACUUCCACAGGAUUUAGAAACUGGAAAAAUGCCACUGAUUCUAAAACUGGUUUUCCAAAACAUGAAAAAUCAAUUUCUCAUAUUCAAGCUAUGUCGAUGUGGCAGGAGAAAUUACAAAGAAUAUCUACAUCUAGCAGUGUUGAAACGUUAAUAAAUCAAAAAGUAUUAGAAAAAUAUAGGUAUUAUGUAAAGUCUAUCAUGGAAGUAAUACAAUUUCUAAUUGUCAACGAAUUAGCUUUGCGUGGAAAUUAUAUUUUGGAAGAAGAAAAAGAACAAGGAUUAUUUCAGAAUUUAUUUGAAUACACAUGUAUGAAAGAUCCAAAUUUGAACGAGGUUCUCACUCAUAUACCACAAAACGCAACAUAUCGUUCACCCGAAAUUCAAAAUCAAAUAAUUCAAGCAAUGGUUCAAGCGGUACGAAGUUCCAUUGUCAAAGAUAUUAAUGAAUCUGACGUGAAAUGGUUUACUCUAAUGGAAGAUGGGACGAGAGAUAAAAAUAACCGCGAAAAUAUUGCAUUAGCAAUACGCUACGUCAAGGAUGGUGUCGUCAAUGAGUCGUUGCUGAUGGUUAAGACUACUGAAAAUCUUGAUGCAGCCACUUUCACGGAAUUAACGUUAAAUACUCUCACGGAAAAUAACAUUGACCCCUCUUGUAUGCUUAGCCAAUGCUAUGAUGGCGCAAGUGUAAUGAGUGGGAAAGUUUCAGGAGUUGCGACUAGAAUAGAAAAUAAAUUGGGCCGAAAAAUUCCUUACGUCCACUGCUAUAACCAUCGCUUGCACUUAAUAGUCAUCAGGACUAUCUCAGAAAUGACUUUUAUUCGUUUAUUUUUUGACCAAUGCAUCAUGUUACAUGAAUUCUUUCAUCAUGGCAAAAUAGCUGCCUUAUAUGAUGGAAAAAGGAUUGGCCGACUCCUCGAACAACGCUGGUCUGGACAUUUAGCAGUUACAAAAGUUGUAUACGAUAAUUAUUCAUCGAUUUUGCAGACUUUGAAAGAAAUUAAAAAUGGCAGAUUCAACGGUGAUGACGUCGCCAAGAGUAUAGGUAUUAAAAAAGUCAUGCUUGAUCUGGAAUUCCGAAUAGCCAUGGUUGUGGCCAAAAAAAUCUUAUCCACGCUACAACCUGCAGACGCAGCUUUGCAAGCCCGAAGCGCAGGAUUAAAAGAUGCCAUAACAAUCAUAAAGUGUGUCAAAGAUGAAAUUAUUAAAUUAAGAUCAAAUCAAAUGUAUAAUCAAAUUCUGGAAGAAGCUAAGUCUUUAACAAGCAAUGACUGCGGCGAAUCUGAAAAUAGGACACAGACCUCGAAGAGGCAAGUAAAAAAACCAAAUCGGAUGGAUGACUAUUUGACGUACACCCCCUGUUCCUCCGCCAGACAAAAUAUAGAUGAGAACGACGAGCCAUUUAAGUCUGAGUAUUUCGAAACGUUGGACAUUUUAAUUGCUGAAUUACAAAGAAGGUUUUCGGACAACGAUGAUUUAAUUAAUUCGAUUGCAAGUCUUGAUGAGUUGGAUGUAGAUAAAAUGGUUCCACUGAAAAAUUUGGGUCUGAAAAUUCCAUCAAGAGAAGAGGCUAGUGUGGUUAAAGCUUACUUGAGUCGUAACGAGGAUAUAAUGGAAAAUACAUUGCAAGUUUUGUACAGGCAACGAGAGGCGUUCAAAGAUACAUAUGAACUUUUUGCGUCUGUGGCGACCAUAGGAUGUAGCACUGCAGUGUGUGAAUCUACGUUUUCAACUUUAACUGCAAUCAAUAGGCCUCAAAGGCUGUCAAUGGGUCACGAGAGAAUGGCUGGUAUGGUAUUUCUGGCCUUUGAAAAAAAAAGAACAAAAUCAGUUGAUCUGAACGAAGUUCUUCGCAUUUUUAAUAACAUGGCGAAUCGUAGAAUUCAGCUGUUUUAAAUGUUUUUUAUUAUUAUGUUAGUUAAUUAUUAUAAUAAGUACGCAAAAACAAUGUGAUCUUAAUGAUA